CCUACGGGCGGCAGCAGUGGGGAAUAUUGCACAAUGGGGGAAACCCUGAUGCAGCGACGCCGCGUGAGUGAAGAAGUAUUUCGGUACGUAAAGCUCUAUCAGCAGGGAAGAAAAUGACGGUACCUGACUAAGAAGCCCCGGCUAACUACGUGCCAGCAGCCGCGGUAAUACGUAGGGGGCAAGCGUUAUCCGGAUUUACUGGGUGUAAAGGGAGCGUAGACGGCAGCGCAAGUCUGGAGUGAAAUCCCAUGGCUUAACCAUGGAACUGCUUGGGAAACUGUGCAGCUAGAGUGCAGGAGAGGUAAGCGGAAUUCCUAGUGUAGCGGUGAAAUGCGUAGAUAUUAGGAGGAACACCAGGGGCGAAGGCGGCUUACUGGACUGUAACUGACGUUGAGGCUCGAAAGCGUGGGGAGCAAACAGGAUUAGAUACCCGUGUAGUC
rnacentral:rRNA from 1 species